rnacentral:rRNA from 1 species
UAGGGAAUCUUCCGCAAUGGACGCAAGUCUGACGGAGCAACGCCGCGUGAGUGAAGAAGGUUUUCGGAUCGUAAAACUCUGUUGUUAGAGAAGAACCACCUCUUGAGUAACUGUAAGAGGUCUGACGGUAUCUAACCAGAAAGCCACGGCUAACUACGUGCCAGCAGCCGCGGUAAUACGUAGGUGGCAAGCGUUGUCCGGAUUUAUUGGGCGUAAAGCGAGUGCAGGCGGUUCCUUAAGUCUGAUGUGAAAGCCCACGGCUUAACCGUGGAGGGUCAUUGGAAACUGGGGAACUUGAGUGCAGAAGAGGAGAGUGGAAUUCCAUGUGUAGCGGUGGAAUGCGUAGAUAUAUGGAGGAACACCAGUGGCGAAGGCGACUCUCUGGUCUGUAACUGACGCUGAGGCUCGAAAGCGUGGGUAGCAAACA